AGAAGGGAAUUGGAAGCUGCUAGAGGCUGAGCAUGCCUGUUGCCCAGGAGCUUCCGGAAAACUGUCACUCCAUAGCAUUCCGGAGUACACUGUGGCCACCCAAGAAACACGCUAAAAUUAAGGACCCAAGAAUGGGGCAGUUUUGACCUAAAAGGACUGGCCACAGCUUUGGUUAGAAGUGAAAGGAGGGAACUUGUAUGUGGACGAGAAUAGAAAACAGAGGACCUGGCAGUCCAGAGAUGUGGGCACAGGAGGGGAGAGUUCAGCUGUGCGGCGAGGGUUGGCGUGGACGGGACAGCCAUGCCCUCGGGGGUCGGUGAGGACGGGGCGGCCGUGCCCUCAGAGGCAAAGUUGGCCAAGAAUUACGGCAUGACCCGCAUGGACCCCUACUGCCGACUGCGCCUGGGCUACGCGGUGUACGAGACGCCCACGGCACACAAUGGUGCCAAGAAUCCCCGCUGGAAUAAGGUCAUCCACUGCACGGUGCCCCCAGGCGUGGACUCUUUCUAUCUCGAGAUCUUCGAUGAGAGAGCCUUCUCCAUGGACGACCGCAUUGCCUGGACCCACAUCACCAUCCCGGAGUCCCUGAGGCAGGGCAAGGUGGAGGACAAGUGGUACAGCCUGAGCGGGAGGCAGGGGGACGACAAGGAAGGCAUGAUCAACCUCGUC
rnacentral:sRNA from 1 species